UACGUAGGGUGCGAGCGUUGCUCGGAAUCACUGGGCGUAAAGCGCGCGUAGGCGGAUUGUUAAGUCAGGGGUGAAAUCCUGGAGCUCAACUCCAGAACUGCCUUUGAUACUGGCGAUCUCGAGUCCGGGAGAGGUGAGUGGAACUGCGAGUGUAGAGGUGAAAUUCGUAGAUAUUCGCAAGAACACCAGUGGCGAAGGCGGCUCACUGGCCCGGUACUGACGCUGAGGUGCGAAAGCGUGGGGAGCAAACAGG
rnacentral:rRNA from 1 species